rnacentral:rRNA from 2 species
CGGCGAGUGAAGCGGCAACAGCUCAAAUUUGAAAUCUGGCCCUUGGGUCCGAAUUGUAAUUUGUAGAGGAUGCUUUUGGUGCGGUGCCUUCCGAGUUCCCUGGAACGGGACGCCAUAGAGGGUGAGAGCCCCGUCUGGUUGGACGCCAAUCCUCUGUAAAGCUCCUUCGACGAGUCGAGUAGUUUGGGAAUGCUGCUCUAAAUGGGAGGUAUAUGUCUUCUAAAGCUAAAUACCGGCCAGAGACCGAUAGCGCACAAGUAGAGUGAUCGAAAGAUGAAAAGCACUUUGAAAAGAGGGUUAAAUAGUACGUGAAAUUGUUGAAAGGGAAGCGCUUGUGACCAGACUUGAGCCCGGUUAAUCAUCCAGCCUUCUGGCUGGUGCACUUGGCCGGCUCAGGCCAGCAUCAGUUCGGCGCGGGGGAUAAAGACUUCGGGAAUGUGGCUCCCCCGGGAGUGUUAUAGCCCGUUGUGCAAUACCCUGUGCUGGACUGAGGUUCGCGCAUCUGCAAGGAUGCUGGCGUAAUGGUCAUCAGCGACCCGUCUUGAAACACGGACCAAGGAGUCGUCUUCGUAUGCGAGUGUUCGGGUGUCAAACCCCUACGCGUAAUGAAAGUGAACGCAGGUGAGAGCUUCGGCGCAUCAUCGACCGAUCCUGAUGUUCUCGGAUGGAUUUGAGUAAGAGCAUACGGAGCCGGACCCGAAAGAAGGUGAACUAUGCCUGUAUAGGGUGAAGCCAGAGGAAACUCUGGUGGAGGCUCGCAGCGGUUCUGACGUGCAAAUCGAUCGUCAAAUAU